rnacentral:rRNA from 1 species
GACGAACGCUGGCGGCGUGCUUAACACAUGCAAGUCGAGCGGUAAGGCCUUUCGGGGUACACGAGCGGCGAACGGGUGAGUAACACGUGGGUGAUCUGCCCUGCACUUCGGGAUAAGCCUGGGAAACUGGGUCUAAUACCGGAUAUGACCUCCUAUCGCAUGGUGGGUGGUGGAAAGAUUUAUCGGUGCAGGAUGGGCCCGCGGCCUAUCAGCUUGUUGGUGGGGUAAUGGCCUACCAAGGCGACGACGGGUAGCCGACCUGAGAGGGUGACCGGCCACACUGGGACUGAGACACGGCCCAGACUCCUACGGGAGGCAGCAGUGGGGAAUAUUGCACAAUGGGCGAAAGCCUGAUGCAGCGACGACGCGUGAGGGAUGACGGCCUUAGGGUUGUAAACCUCUUUCAGCAGGGACGAAGCGUAAGUGACGGUACCUGCAGAAGAAGCACCGGCUAACUACGUG